rnacentral:lncRNA from 1 species
CACAGCAAGGCUAUGCUCCCCAGUAUGCUCAGCAGCCCCCUCCUAGGAAAGAAAGUGCUGGUUUGCUUGAAGGAUGGUAAGGCUCCUCUCCCUCGCUCUUCUCUUAGCAUAUCUUAAUAAAUUGAUGUAGACUCGUAAUUAUGAGAUGGCACGAUUUUGUUGGUUAAAGAUUUACCCUUUUGUUUGUGUGUUUGAUUUUUUUUUAAAAUUUUUUAUUAGUGAUUGUUGCCUAAUAGUCUAAAAUAAGGUGUAAUUUUUAUGCCUGAAGAAAUUGAUAUUUGUUUUGAUGGUAAAAAAAUUCCUCUUUUGUUUGUUUGUUUAAUUUCUUUGUAAUUUUUUUAGUGAGUGUUGUUGCAUGACAGUAUAGGAAAGUGCAUUUCAUAUUCCUGAUGAAAUUGAUGCUUGUUUUACAUGUUGAUUUUGAAUUGGAUAUUUGGUGGAUCUGAAACUUCAACAUCCCGGUUUUGUUUUGUUUUAAGUUGAAGCCUCGUAAGGACUUUAUAUAUGAUCCUUGACAUAGUUUGUUUUGAUCUAAAUGUCUUGCAGUUUAGCAGCACUUUGCUGUUGUUGCCUUUUGGACGCGUGCUUCUGAUGGAAAUCUGGACGAUUUAAUCUUUGAUGAUUCGUUCACGAUUGCUUUAGGUUGGGGUAAAGUCUCAUUCAAGUUUAGGAUAAGCUGUAGUGUCUGGCAAUAUGUUUAACAGUGC